AGAGAGAGACAUGCGCGCAUAUCAAUAAGCGGAGGAAAAGAAACUAACUAGGAUUCCCUCAGUAACGGCGAGUGAAGCGGGAAGAGCUCAAAUUUGAAAUCUUCAAGGUUCUACCUUGACGAAUUGUAGUUUAAAGAAGUGUUUUCUGUUGGAGUUUUGGUAAAAGUUCUUUGGAAUAGGACAUCAUAGAGGGUGAGAAUCCCGUAUUUGACCAUUAUUUCAGCUGUGUGAUACACUUUCAAGGAGUCGGAUUGUUUGGGAAUGCAGUCCAAAAUGGGUGGUAAAUUUCAUCUAAAGCUAAAUACUGGCGAGAGACCGAUAGCGAACAAGUACCGUGAGGGAAAGAUGAAAAGAACUUUGAAAAGAGAGUUAAACAGUACGUGAAAUUGUCAAAAGGGAAGCGUUUGACACCAGUGUUGUUUUCUCGAAAAUCAAUUAAAAAAGGCAGGAUUUUGUGUUGUAUUGACUUUAUCAGCUUUCUGCACUCUUUUCUUGUCCUUUUUUAACUGCACUUUUCGUUAACAAGUCAACAUCAAUUUCUUUUGUUGUAAAAGGGUCAUUGGAAGGUGGCUUUCUUUUCGGAGAAAGUGUUUAUAGCCUUUGGCCUCUGCAAUCGGAGAGAUUGAGGUCUGCAGCGUAGAUCCUUCGGGGUUAGAUACAUUUGUGCUAAGUUAUAGCCUUUCAUAGACAACUUGUUGACUAUGAUCAGUCAUGUAGCUUACUCGCUUAUGCUAUUUUACCUACGCUUAGGAUGUUGAUGUGAUACUGCGAGCA
rnacentral:rRNA from 1 species